CUUACCAUGCAGUCGAACGAUGAUGCCAGCUUGCUGGUGGAUUAGUGGCGAACGGGUGAGUAACACGUGAGUAACCUGCCCUUAACUCUGGGAUAAGCCUGGGAAACUGGGUCUAAUACCGGAUAUGACUCCUCAUCGCAUGGUGGGGGGUGGAAAGCUUUAUUGUGGUUUUGGAUGGACUCGCGGCCUAUCAGCUUGUUGGUGAGGUAAUGGCUCACCAAGGCGACGACGGGUAGCCGGCCUGAGAGGGUGACCGGCCACACUGGGACUGAGACACGGCCCAGACUCCUACGGGAGGCAGCAGUGGGGAAUAUUGCACAAUGGGCGAAAGCCUGAUGCAGCGACGCCGCGUGAGGGAUGACGGCCUUCGGGUUGUAAACCUCUUUCAGUAGGGAAGAAGCGAAAGUGACGGUACCUGCAGAAGAAGCGCCGGCUAACUACGUGCCAGCAGCCGCGGUAAUACGUAGGGCGCAAGCGUUAUCCGGAAUUAUUGGGCGUAAAGAGCUCGUAGGCGGUUUGUCGCGUCUGCCGUGAAAGUCCGGGGCUCAACUCCGGAUCUGCGGUGGGUACGGGCAGACUAGAGUGAUGUAGGGGAGACUGGAAUUCCUGGUGUAGCGGUGAAAUGCGCAGAUAUCAGGAGGAACACCGAUGGCGAAGGCAGGUCUCUGGGCAUUAACUGACGCUGAGGAGCGAAAGCAUGGGGAGCGAACAGAUAA
rnacentral:rRNA from 1 species